CCAUCCUCAAGCUCCGCUUGGCUGGUUGGGCCGGCGUCCACCGCCUGAAAGGCAGUGGCGGCUCCCGGGGACUCUGGUCCCGGGGGCGGUGAUGCAUGGGUCUCUUCAUCCACCGUCCCACGGGCCGCGCCCCCGGAGUCGGUCGAACGGUCGGUCUUCCCCUGUA
rnacentral:misc_RNA from 1 species